CCUACGGGAGGCAGCAGUGGGGAAUAUUGCACAAUGGGCGAAAGCCUGAUGCAGCGACGCCGCGUGAGGGAUGACGGCCUUCGGGUUGUAAACCUCUUUCGCCAGGGACGAAGCGCAAGUGACGGUACCUGGAUAAGAAGCACCGGCUAACUACGUGCCAGCAGCCGCGGUAAU
rnacentral:rRNA from 1 species